rnacentral:lncRNA from 1 species
AGCUCCCGCCCCCGAGACGCACGGGCUGUGGGGCUCCGGGGACCCUCCGCCAGGGUGUUCCUGCGCCGCAGGCGCCCCCAGAGGUUCCAGGCACCUAGCGAGCGACUGCGACCGUCGAAGAGGAGGUCACAAGACGUGCGCCGCGGGGCGCGGAUCCUGACGGGAUGGCGCCACUGCUGAAACUCGGGCAGCCUCUGGAACCUGGAGAAGCGAUGGGACUCUGCGGGCCAGGAGGCCGCCGGCAGGAUGGCACCUUCGGGCGGCCAGAAGGCUGCGCUUCUUGGGGUAACGGUGGCACUGUCUAGAACGGGGGACCUCCGCAGCUCGGCGCUCCAAGGAGAAGACCCAAGCCGUUGGCUGCGUCCUAGUCCCAGACGGGUACUGACAGCGAGGCUGCAGGUGUUCCAGACCUAUUUGAGGACCCCCUAGCUCGGCCACCUCCCUGGAUGCUAACGGAAUCUGCUCCAGACCGGUAUCAAGAUAGAACCUUAAUCGUAUGGCGCAGGACAGAGGCUAUGCAGUGUUCUUCGAUCCAAUGGGGGUGGGAGGUGCUCCUGGACCUCUGUCCCCAGGCCCUGAAGGACACAGCUGCGCUUAGCCGGCCUCUGAGGUUUUACACGUGUUUUCUAUUCAAAGCCGUGGUGCGCUGCUCAGUGUGGCCUCAGCUCUGUGCGGCUUCACUCGCCUCUGGGGCAAAGGGGCAUUUUCUUGAUUGACGCCCUCCUGGGGUGACCACACCUUGAGUUGGGCAGUUUCUGCUAAGGACUUCUAUUAGUAGAAAAACUCCCUGGCUUUUUUUUUUCAACUGAGAUAUUUAGUUUUAUCCUUUGGAAUUAAUCUUCAGCUGCAGUGGGACUGAAGGCGAAAUAGCCAGAGGACCUGGGUCCGAGUUUCACUUCACACCUUAUUUUCUUGAGCAACUACUGUGUGUCAUUAGCAAACGAGAGAGGCAGUCUCUGCCCUGGUGGAAGCAGGAAACGAACACAGUCACAUCUACUAGGGAGAAAUCGUGUGUAAGGGUCGAAACCUUAAGGAGCUCCAGCCCCUCCUUUCGGGUAAAGGAGAGAGUCACUUUGAAAAAGGAAAAGUCUUCCCAAAGGAAAUAAUGUUUGAAAGAUAGGUAGGUGUCAAGGAGCCUAGGGUGUGAGUGACUCCAAGUCAGAAGAGCACUUGAGUUGAGUCUGUCAGUUUAUUGCCCUGGGCUUUUCUCACCUGUCCCGUUUGGGACUUGACAUAAAGGUUCCUAACUGCUUGGGGAUGGAGUCACGGACAUCUUUCAGAAUAAUGACAGACAAAAGCCGUUAAUUAGCACAAACAAACCAGUGAGUGUGAAGCGCCGCUAUUAGAAUUAAAACCUUGGGGGCUGGUAAGGCUAUAUCUCCGUGUGUUCACCCUGUUAUGUGAACCAUAAAAAGGAGAACAAGUUUAACUAACUUCGGGCAGGGCUGGAAAGAGAGUAGACUUCUGAAUACCUGGAGAACUGAACCUUGGGAGGUUUCUUUCUGGUGAGCGCAAAGACAUCUUGGCCAGACAACAGACUGCUUGAAGGGGCUUCCGGUGGGCAAACUCCGGGUUAUUUAAGCCUUGAAAAAUACAUCAUCGAGGAGGUGCUAGCCUGGCAACCUGAGCUUCGAUCCAGGGAAGACAUGGUGGAAGGAAGAACCGAUUCCACAGUUGUCCUCUGCCCUCUGUCUGCUUGCUGUGUCGCAUUACACACAAUAGCGAAGUUGAAAAAAUACGUAGUAAAC